rnacentral:rRNA from 1 species
UACGUAGGGCGCAAGCGUUGUCCGGAAUUAUUGGGCGUAAAGAGCUCGUAGGCGGUCUGUUGCGUCCGCUGUGAAAACUCGGGGCUUAACUCCGAGCCUGCAGUGGAUACGGGCAGACUAGAGGUAGGUAGGGGAGAAUGGAAUUCCCGGUGUAGCGGUGAAAUGCGCAGAUAUCGGGAGGAACACCGGUGGCGAAGGCGGUUCUCUGGGCCUUACCUGACGCUGAGGAGCGAAAGCGUGGGGAGCGAACAGG